rnacentral:misc_RNA from 1 species
GAUGAAGAACGCAGCGAAAUGCGAUACGUAAUGUGAAUUGCAAAUUCAGUGAAUCAUCGAGUCUUUGAGCGCACAUUGCGCCCCCUGGUAUUCCGGGGGGCAUGCCUGUCCGAGCGUCAUUGCUGCCCUCAAGCACGGCUUGUGUGUUGGGCCCCGUCCUCCGAUCCCGGGGGACGGGCCCGAAAGGCAGCGGCGGCACCGCGUCCGGUCCUCGAGCGUAUGGGGCUUUGUCACCCGCUCUGUAGGCCCGGCCGGCGCUUGCCGAUCAACCCAAAUUUUUAUCCAGGUUGACCUCGGAUCAGGUAGGGAUACCCGCUGAACUUAAGCAUAUCAAUAAGCGGAGGA